rnacentral:rRNA from 1 species
ACUGGCGGUAGGCUACACAUGCAAGUCGAACGGCAGCACAGUAAGAGCUUGCUCUUAUGGGUGGCGAGUGGCGGACGGGUGAGGAAUACAUCGGAAUCUACUUUUUCGUGGGGGAUAACGUAGGGAAACUUACGCUAAUACCGCAUACGACCUUCGGGUGAAAGCAGGGGACCUUCGGGCCUUGCGCGAUUGAAUGAGCCGAUGUCGGAUUAGCUAGUUGGCGGGGUAAAGGCCCACCAAGGCGACGAUCCGUAGCUGGUCUGAGAGGAUGAUCAGCCACACUGGAACUGAGACACGGUCCAGACUCCUACGGGAGGCAGCAGUGGGGAAUAUUGGACAAUGGGCGCAAGCCCGAUCCAGCCAUACCGCGUGGGUGAAGAAGGCCUUCGGGCUGUAAAGCCCUUUUGUUGGGAAAGAAAAGCAGCGGGCUAAUACCUUGCUGUUCUGACGGUACCCAAAGAAUAAGCACCGGCUAACUUCGUGCCAGCAGCCGCGGUAAU